UACAGAGGGUGCGAGCGUUAAUCGGAUUUACUGGGCGUAAAGCGUACGUAGGCGGCUUAUUAAGUCGGAUGUGAAAUCCCUGAGCUUAACUUAGGAAUUGCAUUCGAUACUGGGAAGCUAGAGUAUGGGAGAGGAUGGUAGAAUUCCAGGUGUAGCGGUGAAAUGCGUAGAGAUCUGGAGGAAUACCGAUGGCGAAGGCAGCCAUCUGGCUUAAUACUGACGCUGAGGUGCGAAAGCAUGGGGAGCAAACAGG
rnacentral:rRNA from 1 species